GACAGAGGAUGCAAGCGUUAUCCGGAAUGAUUGGGCGUAAAGCGUCUGUAGGCGGUUUUCUAAGUUUGGUGUGAAAUCUCCCGGCUCAACCGGGAGGGUGCGCCGAAAACUGGGAGACUAGAGUGCGGGAUGGGAGAGUAGAAUUCCUGGUGUAGCGGUGAAAUGCGUAGAUAUCAGGAGGAAUACCGAUGGCGAAGGCAGAUCUCUGGGCCGUAACUGACGCUGAGGAGCGAAAGCAUGGGGAGCGAACAGG
rnacentral:rRNA from 1 species